UCAGUAUUAGGCCUAAAACUUCCGGAAGCUUCAUAAGGCGAGCAUUCUAGAAUUAGCUUUAAGAAGCAAGCUUUGCAAAAGGAAACAGACUUGUGGUCAAGACGCUCUGCCACAUUAUGCUAACUCCUGUAAAGUGAGAUAAGUUGUACCCCCCUGGGCACAGCUUGUCUAGCCCACAUUGACCAUAUUUAGAACAUUUGGCUAUUAGACAAACCACAGUUGAGACAAUGGGCUAUAUGGAUACAAGUUAUCUCCUUGUGUAUAACUUAUAAAACUAAAACGACAAUUGGUUACAAGAAAAUAAGUAAGCAUGAAUUAUACAGCCAACUCUAAUCAGAUUAAAGAUUUGGCCUAAUCUGAUUGGUUGACCUGCUUCAAAACACGGCGGGCAGAUAAGAAUAAAUGUGUAGAGCUUCAGGUGGGCAUGUGUGUGUGUGUCUUGGUCUAGGAUGUUGUUCUCUUUGACCGUCUGGACCCAUACCCCCUGAACCAAGGAAACCUGAAUCACACCGACUAUCUGUACCUGGCCAGUGCAAAGAGUGGUCAACUAAAGGGUAACGUAUUCUCGGCAAGGUGCAUAUGGUAGAAGGUAGUAUGAUCACUGAAGGUGCAAAUGAAAGGAGGAAGGUCACCAGAGCAGCAGCUGGAUGAUUUCUUUGUAACAUGACACAGCACUGACAAGUGCCAAUCUGAAACAAUGGAUGAAAUGGCUGAGGACAACAAUUUGGAGGUGGACUACAGCAUAAUGGAUCAAGGGAACAAGAAGGGGCCAGUGCUGAUGGGUCUUUGACAAGCAGGAAGAAUACAGCAAAUGCAUGAACAACAAAAAGGAAAAUUGAGGAGCGGAGAGAGAGGGAAGGAUAGAUGGGAAGAAGUCAGAAAAGUGAUAUACGCUGGACAUGUGAUGAGGAAGAGAAGCUGAUGGAGUGGUGUUUAAUGCUGGAGGAAUGGGAAAAGAAAAACCCAACCCUCUCACCAGAACUGGGUUUAUAAAGUUGACAAGCCAGUCAUCAGGCCCAGUCAUCACUGAAUCCACAAAGUGGAACAGCUAGAACAGGACAGACUGAGGAAGCCCUACAACAGAACAUCGCAUAGCUCAGUGGUUAGAGAAUGCUCCUGAGUGGUGGGAGACCCCUG